UGGGGAAUUUUGGACAAUGGGGGCAACCCUGAUCCAGCAAUGCCGCGUGAGUGAAGAAGGCCUUCGGGUUGUAAAGCUCUUUUGUCAGGGAAGAAACGGAUCCUUCUAAUACAGGGGUCUAAUGACGGUACCUGAAGAAUAAGCACCGGCUAACUACGUGCCAGCAGCCGCGGUAAUACGUAGGGUGCAAGCGUUAAUCGGAAUUACUGGGCGUAAAGCGUGCGCAGGCGGUUGUGCAAGACCGAUGUGAAAUCCCCGGGCUUAACCUGGGAAUGGCAUUGGUGGCUGCACGGCUAGAGUGUGUCAGAGGGGGGUAGAAUUCCACGUGUAGCAGUGAAAUGCGUAGAGAUGUGGAGGAACACCGAUGGCGAAGGCAGCCUCCUGGGCCAACACUGACGCUCAUGCACGAAAGCGUGGGGAGCAAAC
rnacentral:rRNA from 1 species